rnacentral:rRNA from 1 species
ACGUAGGCAGCGAGCGUUGUUCGGAAUUACUGGGCGUAAAGAGUGCGUAGGUGGUUAGCUAAGUUUGGUGUGAAAUCUCCCGGCUCAACUGGGAGGGUGCGCCGAAAACUGGUUGACUAGAGUGUGGGAGAGGGAAGUGGAAUUCCUGGUGUAGCGGUGAAAUGCGUAGAUAUCAGGAGGAACACCUGCGGUGUAGACGGCUUCCUGGACCAUGACUGACACUGAGGCACGAAAGCGUGGGUAGCAAACAG